GGACGAUUAGCUCAGUGGUAGAGCGCUUCGUUGACAUCGAAGAGGUCGCAGGUUCAAGUCCUGCAUCGUCCA
rnacentral:tRNA from 1 species